AGUUUAUUUGCCUCCGGUGGGGCAGACAACUACCUUUAUGAGCUCAAACUUGAUCUUCUUGAUAAAAUCAAUGUAGAGGAGAGCAAAAUAAACAUUGGUCCGAGGAGUAUUUUCUGUGUUUUGGAGAUGAGAAGAUACAUUAUGUGAAAGUAGACUGGGAUAAAUGGGUGGGUGAAGAUGAUGUGGAUGGAGGACCUGGCAAUCUUGAUUUGGAUGGAAUGGAUUUCUCGAAAUUUGGCGACAUGGGUCUUGAUGAUGAUGCCGUAGGAGAUGACCUUGAGGAGAGUGACGAUGAAGGUACUGUGAUUUAAGUACUGG